AAAAGGGAAUGGUAUAGAGACGAAGAAGAUGGAGGAAUGCUACAGAGACGAAGAAGAUGGGAAUGCUACAGAGACAGAGAAGAUGGCUUAAGUGAAAACCAUGAGAUAUUGUUGUUAAUAAAUAUACCCAUCUUCUCCGUCUCUGUAGCAUUCCUCCAUCUUCUUUGUCUCUGUAGCAUUCCUCCAUCU
rnacentral:miRNA from 1 species